rnacentral:rRNA from 1 species
CACGUAGGGGGCAAGCGUUGUCCGGAUUUAUUGGGCGUAAAGAGCUCGUAGGCGGCUCGGUAAGUCGGGUGUGAAACCUCCAGGCUCAACCUGGAGACGCCACCCGAUACUGCUGUGGCUAGAGUCCGGUAGGGGAGCGUGGAAUUCCUGGUGUAGCGGUGAAAUGCGCAGAUAUCAGGAGGAACACCAGCGGCGAAGGCGACUCUUUGGCCUGUAACUGACGCUGAGGCGCGAAAAGCGUGGGGGAGCAAACAGG